rnacentral:rRNA from 1 species
CCUACGGGAGGCAGCAGUGAGGAAUAUUGGACAAUGGGCGCAAGCCUGAUCCAGCCAUGCCGCGUGCAGGAAGACGGUCCUAUGGAUUGUAAACUGCUUUUGUACGGGAAGAAACACUCCUACGUGUAGGAGCUUGACGGUACCGUAAGAAUAAGGAUCGGCUAACUCCGUGCCAGCAGCCGCGGUAAUACGGAGGAUCCAAGCGUUAUCCGGAAUCAUUGGGUUUAAAGGGUCCGUAGGCGGUUUAGUAAGUCAGUGGUGAAAGCCCAUCGCUCAACGAUGGAACGGCCAUUGAUACUGCUAGACUUGAAUUACUAGGAAGUAACUAGAAUAUGUAGUGUAGCGGUGAAAUGCUUAGAUAUUACAUGGAAUACCAAUUGCGAAGGCAGGUUACUACUAGUGGAUUGACGCUGAUGGACGAAAGCGUGGGGAGCGAACAGGAUUAGAUACCCUGGUAGUCCACGCCGUAAACGAUGGAUACUAGCUGUUCGGGGGUCAACCUGAGUGGCUAAGCGAAAGUGAUAAGUAUCCCACCUGGGGAGUACGUUCGCAAGAAUGAAACUCAAAUGAAUUGACGGCUGAGAGNGCGAGGACGACGACGAGGGAGGAGG